rnacentral:rRNA from 1 species
CCUACGGGAGGCAGCAGUGAGGAAUAUUGGUCAAUGGGCGCUAGCCUGAACCAGCCAAGUAGCGUGAAGGAUGACUGCCCUAUGGGUUGUAACCUUCUUUUAUAUGGGAAUAAAGUGCAGUAUGUAUACUGAUUUGCAUGUACCUUAUGAAUAAGGAUCGGCUAACUCCGUGCCAGCAGCCGCGGUAAUACGGAGGAUCCGAGCGUUAUCCGGAUUUAUUGGGUGUAAGGGGAGCGUAGGCGGGUGGUUAAGUCAGGUGUGAAAGUUUGCGGCUCAACCGUACAAUUGCAGUUGAUACUGGUAGCCUAGAGUACAGUAGAGGUAGGCGGAAUUCGUGGUGUAGCAGUGAAAUGCUUAGAUAUCACGAAGAACACCGAUUGCGAAGGCAGCCUGCUGGACUGUAACUGACGCUGAUGCUCGAAGGUGUGGGGAUCGAACAGGAUUAGAUACCCGAGUAGUC